UACGAAGGGGGGCUAGCGUUGUUCGGAAUUACUGGGCGUAAAGCGCACGUAGGCGGGUUGUUAAGUCAGGGGUGAAAUCCUGGAGCUCAACUCCAGAACUGCCUUUGAUACUGGCAACCUAGAGACUGGAAGAAGUUAGUGGAAUUCCCAGUGUAGAGGUGAAAUUCGUAGAUAUUGGGAAGAACACCAGUGGCGAAGGCGGCUAACUGGUCCAGCACUGACGCUGAGGUGCGAAAGCGUGGGGAGCAAACAGG
rnacentral:rRNA from 1 species